rnacentral:rRNA from 1 species
UGAAGAGUUUGAUCAUGGCUCAGAUUGAACGCUGGCGGCAGGCUUAACACAUGCAAGUCGAGCGCCCUGCUUGCAGGGAGCGGCAGACGGGUGAGUAACGCGUGGGAAUGUACCUUUUGGUUCGGAAUAGCCCCGGGAAACUGGGUGUAAUACCGAAUAAGCCCUUAGGGGGAAAGAUUUAUCGCCAAUAGAUCAGCCCGCGUUAGAUUAGCUAGUUGGUGAGGUAAAAGCUCACCAAGGCGACGAUCUAUAGGUGGUCUGAGAGGAUGAUCACCCACACUGGGACUGAGACACGGCCCAGACUCCUACGGGAGGCAGCAGUGGGGAAUAUUGGACAAUGGGCGCAAGCCUGAUCCAGCCAUGCCGCGUGAGUGAUGAAGGCCCUAGGGUUGUAAAACUCUUUCAGUGGUGAAGA